GACGAACGCUGGCGGCGUGCCUAAUACAUGCAAGUAGAACGCUGAAGGAGGAGCUUGCUUCUCCGGAUGAGUUGCGAACGGGUGAGUAACGCGUAGGUAACCUGCCUGGUAGCGGGGGAUAACUAUUGGAAACGAUAGCUAAUACCGCAUAAGAGUAGAUGUUGCAUGACAUUUGCUUAAAAGGUGCACUUGCAUCACUACCAGAUGGACCUGCGUUGUAUUAGCUAGUUGGUGAGGUAACGGCUCACCAAGGCGACGAUACAUAGCCGACCUGAGAGGGUGAUCGGCCACACUGGGACUGAGACACGGCCCAGACUCCUACGGGAGGCAGCAGUAGGGAAUCUUCGGCAAUAGACGGAAGUCUGACCGAGCAACGCCGCGUGAGUGAAGAAGGUUUUCGGAUCGUAAAGCUCUGUUGUAAGAGAAGAACGAGUGUGAGAGUGGAAAGUUCACACUGUGACGGUAUCUUACCAGAAAGGGACGGCUAACUACGUG
rnacentral:rRNA from 1 species